AUCCCAUGGCGAGGACAAUGUCUUAGCAAUUUCUCGAGUCUCCCCCAAGCAUCAAAUAAAGACUCAUCAUCUCCUUGUCUAAAUGAAGUGAUUUCAUUUCUCAUAUU